rnacentral:rRNA from 1 species
GUGUCAGCCGCCGCGGUAAGACGAACCGUGCAAACGUUGUUCGGAAUCACUGGGCAUAAAGGGCGCGUAGGCGGCCCGACCAGUCUGCGGUGAAAGCCUCCCGCUUAACGGGAGAAGGGCCGUGGAUACUGUCGGGCUCGAGGGAGACAGGGGCAGGUGGAACUUCCGGUGGAGCGGUGAAAUGCGUUGAGAUCGGAAGGAACUCCGGUGGCGAAAGCGGCCUGCUGGAUCUCUACUGACGCUGAGGCGCGAAAGCCAGGGGAGCAAACGGGAUUAGAUACCCCCGUAGUCC